UACGUAGGGUGCAAGCGUUCAUCGGAAUUACUGGGCGUAAAGCGUGCGCAGGCGGUUUGCUAAGGCAGGUGUGAAAUCCCCGGGCUUAACCUGGGAACUGCGCUUGUAACUGGCAAGCUGGAGUGUGGCAGAGGGGGGUGGAAUUCCCGGUGUAGCGGUGAAAUGCGUAGAGAUCGGGAGGAACAUCAGUGGCGAAGGCGGCCAUCUGGGACAACACUGACGCUGAAGCACGAAAGCGUGGGGAGCAAACAGG
rnacentral:rRNA from 1 species